UACGGAGGGUGCGAGCGUUAUUAGGAAUUACUGGGCGUAAAGCGCGUGCAGGCGGGAGAGUGGGUCUGUUGUUAAAGCCCGGGGCUUAACCCCGGAAGAGCAUUGGAAACUGUUCUUCUUGAGUUUCGGAGAGGAAGGGUGAAUUCCCGGUGUAGAGGUGAAAAUCGUAGAGAUCGGGAGGACCAUCAGGGGCGAAGGCGCCCUUCAGGACGACAACUGACGCUGAGACGCGAAAGCGUGGGGAGCAAACAGG
rnacentral:rRNA from 1 species